AGGAAAAGAAGCAGCACGUGAGAGAGCUCGUCAGACAAUUAUAUGUGACUGUAUUCUACUUUUUAAAAUGAUAAAAGGGUUCCCACAUGUGUCAUGAAUGUUUUAUGUCAUAAAUGGAUGUUUGUAGAAGCUCUACGGCACCACUACAAGGAAGUGACCCAUCAUAUCUUCAGUGAUGCUCUGAAGAAAUGGCUACGAUAUGCACCAGAACGUCAGGGAGGUGCAAAGAGAAAAUGGACAGAAGUGGGUGUGGGCAGGUUGGGGGGGUCAGUUAGGACUUCAAUGUUUUUCUGAUUGUUAUCAAAUUACUACCAUUGUGCUAUUUUUGUGUGAAUAUAUAUAUAUAAUGUGUUAUGAAUGAUAAAUUGUUUUCAUUUUGAA